GCAGCUUGCUGUUUUGCUGACGAGUGGCGGACGGGUGAGUAAUGUCUGGGAAACUGCCUGAUGGAGGGGGAUAACUACUGGAAACGGUAGCUAAUACCGCAUAACGUCGCAAGACCAAAGAGGGGGACCUUAGGGCCUCUUGCCAUCGGAUGUGCCCAGAUGGGAUUAGCUAGUAGGUGGGGUAACGGCUCACCUAGGCGACGAUCCCUAGCUGGUCUGAGAGGAUGACCAGCCACACUGGAACUGAGACACGGUCCAGACUCCUACGGGAGGCAGCAGUGGGGAAUAUUGCACAAUGGGCGCAAGCCUGAUGCAGCCAUGCCGCGUGUAUGAAGAAGGCCUUCGGGUUGUAAAGUACUUUCAGCGGGGAGGAAGGGAGUAAAGUUAAUACCUUUGCUCAUUGACGUUACCCGCAGAAGAAGCACCGGCUAACUCCGUGCCAGCAGCCGCGGUAAUACGGAGGGUGCAAGCGUUAAUCGGAAUUACUGGGCGUAAAGCGCACGCAGGCGGUUUGUU
rnacentral:rRNA from 1 species